AAGUCGUAACAAGGUUUCCGUAGGUGAACCUGCGGAAGGAUCAUUAACACAAAACUCUUUUUCUUUCUUUGGAUCUUUUCAAAGAAAAAAAAGAAAAACCCUAUCCACCCCAUUUGUACGAACGAUGAUUUAUUUCAUCUUGUCUCUUCUUUAUCCCAAACCUAUUUUUUUUUACCCCAUAUACCAAACAUGCGAUAGACUGAUAUCAUUUUUAUGAUCAUUAUCUUUAUGAUUUAAUGAUUACUAAAACAACUCUUAGCAACGGAUAUCUUGGCUCUCGCAUCGAUGACGCAGC
rnacentral:misc_RNA from 1 species